UAGGGAAUCUUCGGCAAUGGACGAAAGUCUGACCGAGCAACGCCGCGUGAGUGAAGAAGGUUUUCGGAUCGUAAAACUCUGUUGUUAGAGAAGAACAAGGACGUUAGUAACUGAACGUCCCCUGACGGUAUCUAACCAGAAAGCCACGGCUAACUACGUGCCAGCAGCCGCGGUAAUACGUAGGUGGCAAGCGUUGUCCGGAUUUAUUGGGCGUAAAGCGAGCGCAGGCGGUUUCUUAAGUCUGAUGUGAAAGCCCCCGGCUCAACCGGGGAGGGUAAUUGGAAACUGGGAGACUUGAGUGCAGAAGAGGAGAGUGGAAUUCCAUGUGUAGCGGUGAAAUGCGUAGAUAUAUGGAGGAACACCAGUGGCGAAGGCGGCUCGCUGGUCUGUAACUGACGCUGAGGCUCGAAAGCGGGGGGAGCAAACAGG
rnacentral:rRNA from 1 species